GAUGAACGCUGGCGGCGUGCUUAACACAUGCAAGUCGAACGAUGAUGCCCAGCUUGCUGGGUGGAUUAGUGGCGAACGGGUGAGUAACACGUGAGUAACCUGCCCUUGACUCUGGGAUAAGCCUGGGAAACUGGGUCUAAUACCGGAUACGACCAUCUGGCGCAUGUCAUGGUGGUGGAAAGCUUUUGUGGUUUUGGAUGGACUCGCGGCCUAUCAGCUUGUUGGUGGGGUAAUGGCCUACCAAGGCGACGACGGGUAGCCGGCCUGAGAGGGUGACCGGCCACACUGGGACUGAGACACGGCCCAGACUCCUACGGGAGGCAGCAGUGGGGAAUAUUGCACAAUGGGCGCAAGCCUGAUGCAGCGACGCCGCGUGAGGGAUGACGGCCUUCAGGUUGUAAACCUCUUUCAGUAGGGAAGAAGCGAAAGUGACGGUACCUGCAGAAGAAGCGCCGGCUAACUACGUG
rnacentral:rRNA from 1 species